UCUCCGUUGGUGAACCAGCGGAGGGAUCAUUACAGGACUCGCAAGACUCCUUCACCCUGUGAACCUCACUACAGGCGCGUUGCUUCGGCGGGUGUCCCGGCGGGGGUUUUCCCUCGCCGGGGCGCACAGCCCGCCGGCAGCCUACUAUACUCUGUCUCUUUGCGUUGGCAUCUCGAGAAAAAACAAACAAGUUAAAACUUUCAAUAACGGAUCUCUUGGUUCUG
rnacentral:misc_RNA from 1 species